rnacentral:rRNA from 1 species
GAUAAACGCUGGCGGCGCACAUAAGACAUGCAAGUCGAACGGUUUAUAACAAUGGCUUUAGUGGCGGACUGGUGAGUAACGCGUAAGGAACCUACCUAUUAGAGGGGAACAACAAUGAGAAAUCAUUGCUAAUACCGCAUAUGCCAUAACUACCGCAUGGUAGAAGUGGGAAAGGAGUAAUCCGCUGAUAGAUGGCCUUGCGUCUGAUUAGUUAGUUGGUGGGGUAACGGCCUACCAAGACGACGAUCAGUAGCCGGACUGAGAGGUUGAACGGCCACAUUGGGACUGAGAUACGGCCCAGACUCCUACGGGAGGCAGCAGUCGGGAAUAUUGCGCAAUGGAGGAAACUCUGACGCAGUGACGCCGCGUGCAGGAAGAAGGUUUUCGGAUUGUAAACUGCUUUAGACAGGGAAGAGAAAGGACAGUACCUGUAGAAUAAGCUCCGGCUAACUACGUGCCAGCAGCCGCGGUAAUACGUAGGGAGCGAGCGUUAUCCGGAUUUAUUGGGUGUAAAGGGUGCGUAGACGGGAAUACAAGUUAGUUGUGAAAUACCUCAGCUUAACUGAGGAACUGCAACUAAAACUAUAUUUCUUGAGUACAGGAGAGGUAAGUGGAAUUCCUAGUGUAGCGGUGAAAUGCGUAGAUAUUAGGAGGAACACCAGUGGCGAAGGCGACUUACUGGACUGAAACUGACGUUGAGGCACGAAAGUGUGGGGAGCAAAACAGGAUUAGAUACCCUGGUAGUCCACACCGUAAACGAUGGAUACUAGGUGUAGGAGAUAUUAAGUUCUUCUGUGCCGUCGCAAACGCAGUAAGUAUCCCACCUGGGGAGUACGGCCGCAAGGUUGAAACUCAAAAGGAUUUGACGGGGGCCCGCACAAGCAGUGGAGUAUGUGGUUUAAUUCGAAGCAACGCGAAGAACCUUACCAGGGCUUGACAUAUAGAUGAAUAUAUAAGAGAUUAUAUAGCUCUUCGGAGCAUCUAUACAGGUGGUGCAUGGUUGUCGUCAGCUCGUGUCGUGAGAUGUUGGGUUAAGUCCCGCAACGAGCGCAACCCCUGUUUCUAGUUGCCAGCACGUCAAGGUGGGAACUCUAGAAAGACUGCCGUAGAUAAUACGGAGGAAGGUGGGGAUGACGUCAAAUCAUCAUGCCCUUUAUGUCCUGGGGCUACACACGUACUACAAUGGCUGUAACAGAGGGAAGCAAGCUAGUGAUAGCAAGCGAAACCCAAAAGCCAGUCACAGUUCGGAUUGAAGGCUAAAACUCGCCUUCAUGAAGCCGGAAUUGCUAGUAAUGGCAGGUCAGCAUACUGCCGUGAAUACGUUCCCGGGCCU